rnacentral:SRP_RNA from 1 species
UCGCCUUCGUGCAGAGGUGUGUCAAUAUUAGUCAACGAGCGUACUUGCUGGCGAAUCUGCCGGG